GCAACUCGACUGCACGAAGCUGGAAUCGCUAGUAAUCGCGGAUCAGCACGCCGCGGUGAAUACGUUCCCGGGCCUUGUACACACCGCCCGUCACACCAUGGAAGUCUGCAAUGCCCGAAGCCGGUGGCCUAACCACUUAUGUGGAAGGAGCCGUCUAAGGCAGGGCAGAUGACUGGGGUGAAGUCGUAACAAGGUAGC
rnacentral:rRNA from 1 species